UGGGAGCCACAGGGACACACGGCUUCUCCGACUUCUCUAUGCAGCCUGCUAGCCCUGAGACACUAUAGAAGUGUGUCUGCUCUCACAAAGACACACUGGCUGUUCCCAUGCAGGGACAGAGAGUGGCUUACAGGGCAAACCAUCUGGAUCAGUUAUAAUUCACUUCAGAAAGAGACUCUUCCAUUAACAAACAGAUCGGUCAUUUCUAUUUGUACAAAUACAAUAUUUUCAAAACAUUUUUUCUUCUUAAACAACAAACAAACAACCUUGCUGAUAUGGAUUUAUUUCAAUUUAUCGUAUAUACAUGUUCAAAUUUGAUAUAAUUGACACAUUAGGAUAUUGGAAUCAUUUUGCCUAUUUACGUAGUCAAAACCUUCACGUGGCAAAAUAUUGGAUUGAAGUAUUCCCAUGCAUACAGCAUCUUGGUUAAAGUCAUGAUUUUGCCUUAAUGUUUGGCUAUCAGUCUAAAGAGAGAUAAUCCAAGCGCCUAUGUGCUGCACACUGUCUUUAUCAUAACUUUUCUCCCGUAAAAUGGCCAUAUUAUAAAUAAAGAUGUGUUUUGUUUGAUGUGUCUAUGUGUUGCAAUGAACAGAAAGACUGGUGAUCCUAACAUAUUUGUUAUAUUUGCAAUUUGAUGAUUUGUAUCACUACUCAACAUGGGAACGUGAUAUUUCUGAUUACACAUGGGCACAGACACUUUCCCAGUGACUAACGUGGCAGACCUCUUUGGCAUAUGGCAUAAAGAACAACAUCCCACCUGUCAUGUGAGGAAUCAGCUAUUAUUCCCACUGAAUAUUGUCCCACCAUCUGAUUGGCUGCAUAGUGUGAGACAGCGUAGAAGUAAGCACAUAAAUAGAGAGUGGAGAUGCAGAGCUCACUAACAACGACUCUCUGAGCAUCAGCUGGCCCAAGACCCGCAGCAUCACAGCACAGCAGAGGAGCUACAACAACACUAACUCUCGGGCAAGACCUACCAAGACCAUCAUCUCUACUUUAUUGACGAGUUGCACAUCGUGAACAUGAAGCAUCAGCAUAUUAGGUGUAAACUCUCUGUUGGAGAGGAAAUGCAGCAGUGGUAUGGAGAAACUGAAGAUAGCUAUUAUAGAACAUCUCCAGAACAGGAUCCCUACAUCUCCUAUAUCUCCUAUUUUGGAGAAGUCUGUGUUUUUUCACUCCGAAGAAGGCCUUGCUGUCACCCACCAGUUAUUCCAAAUGUUCCAGGGACAUGCUGCGUCUCUUUCCUACUCCAGAGGAGGACAUUGUGCCACUCUGCUUCGAACAAUGAACUGAGAGAGAUGCAUGGAUGGGGAGAUUAUAGGUCAGGGGUUACAUAUUGGGCUGAGACCAGGGUCUGAGACAAAAUGAUCACUGCAGCAUGAGAUACAAACCUGUGGAGCGGGUACGAACUGAGCCUAUGGUGAACAGAGCACAAUAUACUGUUCAUGUGCAAAUUCAGCUUGGAUAUAUCAGAGCGCCAGAUCUACGUAGGGAAAAUAUUCCCACCAUGGUGAUUGGCUGGUUGUCCUAUUUGGACCAGACUGUUAGAGAUUUGUCUGGAACCUAUUCUGUUGUUUUACAUGAAAUGUAAAGUUGCAGAAGCAUUUGAAAUGCAUUGUAUGUAUUUAUAUAAGCAGAGGUUUACUGCUUUAUUCUUUGUGAAAUUCUUAACUAAAUACCCUGAGAUACGGUUCAAGGUGAAACGCUGCCUCAAAUAACGGUAGAAAAUAAAUUCACAUGCAUACCUUUAUUUCUGUAAAGGAACAGUGCAUUGUUGUGCAUGAAAAUACAUAAAGUAAAUGUUUAUUUUAUCUUAAGGCCCCAAAGAGGAUUUAUAUUCUUGUUAAUAUUGUUGUCUGAUUUUGUCAGCUAAUAAAACUGCAGACAAAAUCCAA